rnacentral:sRNA from 16 species
UUUUAACCGCUCUUCACCCCACACCUCUCAACAAUGGUGGAUAGGAUUUGAAGAGCAAACACCCUGAGCACCCCCGAAAGGGAGAGAGCUAUGUCUUUUGAAUUACCUGCAUUACCUUAC